GAAAGCCCCAAUAAAAAGGCCCUCUGCUGCAUCACUGCCAUCCUCCUGCUACUCAAGUCCUGAUAGACUUUGGAGAACCUGAUUCUAAGACUCCAGAAAGAUGUCUCAGCAGCAGCAGCAGUGCAAGCAGCCCUGCCAGCCACCUCCAGUGGUGUGUCCACCCAAGUGCCCUGAGCCUUGCCCACCUCCAAAGUGCCCUGAGCCCUGCCCACCUCCAAAGUGCCCUGAGCCAUGCCCACCUCCUCAGUGCCAGCAGAAAUGCCCUCCUGUGCCACCUCCCCAACAAUGCCAAGAGAAGUGCCCACCCAAGUGCAAGUAAAAGCUUCAGCUUUUAUCUGGAUCAGGAAAGGAUAAGGACAGUUGACUCACCUGGCUCCACAGCUCUACCUUCGCCUUCUCUUCAAAUCCUAUCAUGGAUACAGAAGGAGUUUCUCCACGCUUCAGCCAACAAUACGCCUGUGGUGAUUUCAGACAGCUAGAGGUUUCCUUUCUGAAGUUGCUAUACUGCUUUGCUCUUGGAAGUGCCCAAGAAAGCAUCACAAAGUUUCAGAAGGAAGAACAGCAGCUCUUCUCCUGGGUCCCAUCAGAGGAUUCACUCACUGUCUUCUGUGUCUGUCACCUGGGCAGGGGUUUCUACAGGCUGGGAAAUUGUUACUUAUCCUCUACCUCCUGAAUAAAGUAGAAUUCCUUUGUGUGAUGUUAAAAA